rnacentral:rRNA from 1 species
UUCACGCCGCGUGAGUGAUGAAGCGUUCGGAUCGUAAAACUCUGUUGUUAGGGAAGAACAAGUGCCAUAGUAACUGAUGGCACCUUGACGGUACCUAACCAGAAAGCCACGGCUAACUACGUGCCAGCAGCCGCGGUAAUACGUAGGUGGCAAGCGUUGUCCGGAAUUAUUGGGCGUAAAGCGCUCGCAGGCGGUUCUUUAAGUCCGAUGUGAAAUCUUACGGCUCAACCGUAAACGUGCAUUGGAAACUGGGGAACUUGAGUGCAGAAGAGGAGAGUGGAAUUCCACGUGUAGCGGUGAAAUGCGUAGAGAUGUGGAGGAACACCAGUGGCGAAGGCGACUCUCUGGUCUGUAACUGACGCUGAGGAGCGAAAGCGUGGGGAGCGAACAGGAUUAGAUACCCUGGUAGUCCACGCCGUAAACGAUGAGUGCUAGGUGUUAGGGGGUUUCCGCCCCUUAGUGCUGAAGUUAACGCAUUAAGCACUCCGCCUGGGGAGUACGGCCGCAAGGCUGAAACUCAAAAGAAUUGACGGGGGCCCGCACAAGCGGUGGAGCAUGUGGUUUAAUUCGAAGCAACGCGAAGAACCUUACCAGGUCUUGACAUCCUCUGAACACUCUAGAGAUAGAGUCUCCCUUCGGGGACAGAGUGACGGGUGGUGCCUGGUUGUCGUCAG